rnacentral:rRNA from 1 species
AACUUUCAGCAACGGAUCUCUUGGCUCUCGCAUCGAUGAAGAACGCAGCGAAAUGCGAUAAGUAAUGUGAAUUGCAGAAUUCAGUGAAUCAUCGAAUCUUUGAACGCACCUUGCGCUCCUCGGUGUUCCGAGGAGCAUGCCUGUUUGAGUGUCA